rnacentral:lncRNA from 1 species
UUGAAAUGUGAGACAGGUGGGCUUUUUGAAAGGAUUAGAAUAUGAAUACAUAUCUUAGUUAAUACUUUCGUUAUAACUUAUCUAGAAUUAGAAAGAUAAUGUUGAAUUCAAAUGAAAUCUUAGAUAAAGCAGAACAUGUUAUGGUCAAAGUGUGAGUAAGUUGGAGAACUGUUGAAAGUGAUGAUUGAGCAUCUUUAAAUUAUUUAAUUGAAUCCUAAAUCUAUUUGGGAGAAAGAGAAAAUAGAAAAAACACUGUUGGAAUGUGGCGGUGUUGGUAAGUUCCUAGAGGGAGAACUAGAAAUCCAUAACAGUGACAAAGGUUAGUAUAGAAUAGAGAGAUAGAAUAGUAAGUGACAAAAGAGCAAAAAAAUGGUAAGUUAGUUAAUUUUAACCCGUAAAAGAGGGUGUUUAACANUAAUUGCAACUGGAAGCUACAAAUAUUCCAAACUCAGCACAAUAAAAAGACUGGGCCAUUGUCCAAGANAACAGAGCAUUGUAAUAUGCCAAUGCCUCACACAUGUAAGACAAGUUUAGCUUCCAAAAGUAUCAAUAAUGGUUAGCAUCAAAUAGUAUCUAAAUUUAUAAUUAUUUCGACAAUUAGCUAAGAACACAC